rnacentral:lncRNA from 1 species
AUGGAAAUUUACAGCGCCUCUGUUCUUCUACUUCAACUCCCUCUUGGAUCACACACUCCAAUUAACCAAAAUAGACCACCGCUUGAUCCUCAAGCUCCGGCCUAGACUCCCGGCGUGGCUUCGCCGAUCUCGGUCUGGUACUUCAAUUUUUACCUUUUGCUCAUGUGUUUCAACUUCUUUACCAUGAAAUUUUUGUGCUUUUUGCCUUUGGUUUGUGAUUUAAUGUAA